rnacentral:rRNA from 1 species
GAUGAACGCUGGCGGCGUGCCUAAUACAUGCAAGUCGAGCGAACAGACGAGGAGCUUGCUCCUCUGACGUUAGCGGCGGACGGGUGAGUAACACGUGGAUAACCUACCUAUAAGACUGGGAUAACUUCGGGAAACCGGAGCUAAUACCGGAUAAUAUAUUGAACCGCAUGGUUCAAUAGUGAAAGACGGUUUUGCUGUCACUUAUAGAUGGAUCCGCGCCGCAUAGCUAGUUGGUAAGGUAACGGCUUACCAAGGCAACGAUGCGUAGCCGACCUGAGAGGGUGAUCGGCCACACUGGAACUGAGACACGGUCCAGACUCCUACGGGAGGCAGCAGUAGGGAAUCUUCCGCAAAGGGCGAAAGCUUGACGGAGCAACGCCGCGUGAGUGAUGAAGGUCUUCGGAUCGUAAAACUCUGUUAUUAGGGAAGAACAAAUGUGUAAGUAACUAUGCACGUCUUGACGGUACCUAAUCAGAAAGCCACGGCUAACUACGUG